AUUGAACGCUGGCGGCAGGCCUAACACAUGCAAGUCGAGCGAGCGGCGGACGGGUGCGUAAUGCCUGGGAAUUGCCCAGUCGAGGGGGAUCACAGUUGGAAACGACUGCUAAUACCGCAUACGAUUGGCUUGCCCUGGGGGGAUUAGCUAGUUGGUGAGGUAAUGGCUCACCAAGGCGACGAUCCCUAGCGGGUCUGAGCGAAUGAUCAGCCAAACUGGAACUGAGACACGGUCCAGACUCCUACGGGAGGCAGCAGUGGGGAAGAUUGAACAAUGGGGGAAAUCCUGAUGCAGCCAUGCCGCGUGUGUGAAGAAGGCCUUCGGGUGGUAAAGCACUUUCAGCGAGGAGGCGUUACUCGCAGAAGAAGCACCGGCUAACUCCGUGCCAGCAGCAGCGGUAAUAC
rnacentral:rRNA from 1 species